ACCACACAGUGUGGAAACCAGCCAAGAGCUACACUUUUUGCAACCACAAAGGGCCCUGGGUUCACCUUUGUGAAUGAGCUUUCUGAUAUUCCCCAAAAGGAGAUAUCUCCCAACACCCCAUGGCCCCCGGUAGCGUCCUUCCUUGUCCACACUCAUUGUGAAUGGCACCUCUGAGUUUUCCUUCAAAGACAAGGUAAGGAAAUACAUUUUAGGAGGAAGGAGGUAACAGGGCCACGGGUCCAAUUCUGCACUUGGCACAGUCCCAAGGACACUGGGCAUACAGACAGAAAUUUGAGUUCCAGUUGGCUACAUGGGGUGCCGGUUUCAAAGGGGCUGUCAAUCUUGCCUGUUUACCACAUCGCUCUUUGUAAAAGGGUCUUCUUUUCUAGGAUUUUUGUAUUUUUUUUCCCCCUGACAUUUUCUGCUUUGGUAAUUGACUACAAGAAUAGUUCUAUAACAUAAAUCAACGAUGAAAAACAAAUUACUCCCGCCCCCAGUCUUUCAUUACCCCCCUCGUCUCUAACGAUAUUUUUCUGUAUGAUGACUAACCCAGACUGACGUAAUUUAUCAAUUCAUCUCGACGAUGCACAUUAGGAAAUGCAUUCCGAGGGCCCCAGCAGGCAGCCUUCGGUGUGCCACAUCACCUUCCAGAAGCCAUUAGUGCUGCAGAGACAUGUGAAGUCCAGCCUUUGUGUGGAGAGCGUCAGGCCCGCCGCUGCUAAUGGCUUUAUUAAUCAGAAGGUGAACCGGCAGCACAAGUGUCACAGCUGCGUAAAAUAACUGGUUUUAUGGCAAAUGUAGUUAAAAAGAAAUGACACAUUGGAUUUACAGUGCUCUGGAGUAAAAGAAAAAAAUAAUAAGAGAGAGAAAAAGGAAAUCAGACAUAGCAGCAAUUUUCUAUCUUCGGUUAAAUUCAUUAAGCGUGUGCUACUAAAAGUCAUUUGUAACUAGUUCCCCGGUGAGUCCGUGUUCUAGAAGAAUUUAUUUGAAAAUACAGAGGAAAGCUUAAAUUACCCAUUUAUAUUACAUAUAUAUAUAUAUAUAUAUAUAUAUAUAUAAAUAAAACAAGCCAACAUUUCAUCUCCAGAGGAAAAGAGAGUCAGAUAUGCGAGAAGGAGAG
rnacentral:lncRNA from 1 species